CAGCCGCCGCGGGAAUACGAAGGGUGCAAGCGUUACUCGGAAUUACUGGGCGUAAAGCGUGCGUAGGUGGUGGUUUAAGUCCGUUGUGAAAGCCCUGGGCUCAACCUGGGAAUUGCAGUGGAUACUGGGUCACUAGAGUGUGGUAGAGGAUAGUGGAAUUUCCGGUGUAGCAGUGAAAUGCGUAGAGAUCGGAAGGAACAUCUGUGGCGAAGGCGACUAUCUGGGCCAACACUGUCACUGAGGCACGAAAGCGUGGGGAGCAAACAGGAUUAGAUACCCGAGUAGUCCCUGUCUCUUAUAU
rnacentral:rRNA from 1 species